AUUGCUUAAUUAUUUCCCUUAUAGCAUGCCUAUGUUAGCCUAGUGGAGUAUUUCGCUGAGGUCGGCGACUUGCCCACUGGGAACUAUUUUUAAUAAUUUUCACACCCUCUGUUUGUUGUUUGUUUCAGAGCCAACCGCAUCGGGAGUGGCUAGGGAUUGUGGCAAGGGUUAGCGACUAGCUAGAGCCCUACGGAGUUCUUUUAGAGGGACCCGAUAUCAUCUUUCUUUUUGCGCUUUAUAGAAAGAUGUAUUAUGUAUUUUGGUUUAGAAAUUAUGUUAGACUUUUGGAUUUAGCUGUAUACAUUUUGUAUCUUUUUGUGGAUCUCUUGUGAUAGAACAUUAGUGAUUUUAUAGCACUCGCUCUUAUAGCCUUACUAGGUCUUUACUAUGUUCAUUUCUUGCUUUAGUAGACGCCUUGUGUGUAUUGUAGUUGUUUAGUGUACACGGCGGGUCUCUGCACGCGCCGGCGGGCUUCCGCUAGGCCCGGGGCGUGACAGUAAUACUUCACGAAAUCGUCGGUGUUAGUAGGGAAUGCCCUAAAUGAGGAUACAAAAAGCGUCCGAAUUCUAUGUAAUAAAUUUUUUCUCCUAUAAUUUUUUUUAUCUCUGUCGUUGUUUUUCAUUGAAUUUUAAUUUUAUUUCAAAAAAUUUUAAAGUAUUUUUUAUAUUAUUAAAUUUAAUCAAAUAUGAUUAUAUCCGUCACAUCGCGCGGGUUCCUACACUAGUUUAAUAUAUUUAACAAAAUUAUGAAUUCAUCUUAGACAUAAAUUUUGUAUCA
rnacentral:lncRNA from 1 species